rnacentral:rRNA from 1 species
GACGAACGCUGGCGGCGUGCUUAACACAUGCAAGUCGGACGAUGAAGAAAAGAAUUGAAGCUUCGGCAGAAAUUCAUUUCGGAUUAGUGGCAGACGGGUGAGUAACGCGUGAGCAACCUACCUCUUACAAAGGGAUAGCCUCGGGAAACCGGGAUUAAUACCAUAUAACAUUGCGACGAAGCAUUUCGAUGCAAUCAAAGCUACGGCGGUAAGAGAUGGGCUCGCGUCCCAUUAACCAGAUGGUGAGGUAACGGCUCACCAUAGUAACGAUGGGUAACCGGCCUGAGAGGGUGAACGGUCACACUGGAACUGAGACACGGUCCAGACUCAUACGGGAGGCAGCAGUGGGGAAUAUUGCACAAUGGAGGGAACUCUGAUGCAGCGACGCCGCGUGAGUGAUGAAGGAAUUCGUUUCGUAAAACUCUGUUCUAUGGGAAGAAAAGGACUGUACCAUAGGAGAAAGCUCCGGCUAAAUACGUG